rnacentral:rRNA from 1 species
AUACGUAGGGGGCGAGCGUUGUCCGGAAUGAUUGGGCGUAAAGGGCGCGUAGGCGGCCCGGUAAGUCUGGAGUGAAAGUCCUGUUUUUAAGAUGGGAAUUGCUUUGGAUACUGUCGGGCUUGAGUGCAGGAGAGGUAAGUGGAAUUCCCAGUGUAGCGGUGAAAUGCGUAGAGAUUGGGAGGAACACCAGUGGCGAAGGCGACUUACUGGACUGUAACUGACGCUGAGGCGCGAAAGUGUGGGGAGCAAACAGGAUUAGAUACCCUGGUAGUCCACACUGUAAACGAUGAAUGCUAGGUGUAGGGGGUAUCGACCCCUUCUGUGCCGCAGUCAACACAAUAAGCAUUCCGCCUGGGGAGUACGGCCGCAGGGUUGAAACUCAAAUGAAUUGACGGGG